rfam:Camelus ferus unplaced genomic scaffold scaffold535, whole genome shotgun sequence.
GGGUAUAUAGCUCAGAGGUAGAGUGCGUGCCUAGCAUGCACAAGGUCCUGGGUUCAGUCCCCAGUACCGCCG